AUGAGAUGUUUUUUUUUUUUUUUUUUUCCUCUCCCUCUCCUGGUUAUGGUUUUGGCACAACAAUAGAGAGCUGAGAGAAGAGGGCAGUUGAUCAAGCCCACAACUCAGGACCAUCAGGGUCUUCAAAACUGUGGUAUAUAAUUAUAUUGCAUGUUUUUUUUUGUUUUUUUUGUUUGUUUUUUUGCUAAGUUUGUCUAAUUUCGUUGUUAAUCCUAUUGAUAUUGUUGUUUAUGUUUAUCAGGCAUAGAGUGUAUUAUACAUUGUGUGCAACUCACAGCUGUAAUGAUUUAUUUUUUAGGUUUUCUCAUAUAUAAAAUCAUACUCAGAAAUUGAAAUGUACAAAAAUUAAAAUGUAUAUUAUUAUCUAGAUAAAAUUACAAUAAAAUAAUAAGAUUAUACAUCUCUUCCUGACUAUUCUUCAGAAAUUGAAUGCACCAGGUCCACAUUUAAGAUCAAUGUAAUUGUCCACCAGUGGCGUGCUCUCACUAAAUACUUUGACCCUAGGUCAAGGCUGUUUGGCCAGAAUUUAACUCUUGACCUCUAAUACAUGUCUUAUCAACUCUCCGCCUAAUUUGUAUUGAUUAUCACUCCCAAGAGACUUGGGGGUUAAAACACUUCUUUCUUAAUGAAAUAUUACUUGAUAUAUUUUCCUGACAAAAAAGAAAAAAAAAAAGAAAAACUGAAUUUCAAAUUAAAUAAUAUACUUAAUUUCAUGAUUUGAAAAGUAUGUUUUCUUUAUAUUUUUUUUUUACACAUUUUGACACAAAAGAUGCAUAGAUGAAUUCAGGACAAAAGAGACUCAUUGCUGCACAUCUGCCACCCUCUUUCCAAUUACGGAAAUAUGAAGUUGUGCCUGAAAGUGCCUGUGUGUUUACGUGUGUGUGUCAGGGUGGAGUGGGUGGAUGGCUUUAGAUGAACAGUGGAGCUACGACUUCUCUCAAGUUCUCAGGCAAGUGCUUGUGUCUGGCGAUGGAGGAGGCAGCUGAUUUGGGAUACGGCGUUUACAUAACAAAGGGCCCGAGCCUGUGAACUUGGGGCUCCUUUCGACCCCGGCACUGUGGGGAUGAAUAGUCUUCAAGCCUCCCCACGGAGCACCCCCCACAGCUUGCCCGAUCGUGGUAAAAUUGUUAAUCGGGUAAUUUAAUAUAGUUUUCAAUAUGCCUCAUCUCUCAUUGAGAAAGCAUUCUUGCCUUAAUUCUCGCCUUCCCUACUAAAACAAAACAAAAAAAAAAGCGGGCCCCCGCCCUUUCUCUGUCCCGAGCAGACGAGACAGGCAGCUGCAGGUCUCGGAGUUUUCUCAAUUGAAAUGUUCAAACAUCAACAACAUGAAGGCCUCCAUAGACACAGUUUGUAUGCAUAUGCUGGCCGAGUUCAUUGUAGAGGACUAUUUGUUCAUGUGUGUAUCUGGACACAUUGAGUCAGUGGAUAAGCAUCUAUGCGUGUGUGGGUAGAGGGGAAGACAAAAAGCUUAAAUCUGUAAAUGUGGCUUUGUGUUCAUACAGUGCAAUGCCACAUGCUUACUUUGUCUUGCGCUGAGAAAAUGAGCAAAUCAAACGGAGGGUCUUGACAGAUAGUGUCGAGCACUUCACCUUUCUAACCCAAUCUGGAAUGAGGUCACUUCAAACGGUUCCUCCGUCUAAGGUCAGGCUGACGUCAGUUCACCCGGUGUGCAGUGUCCACUGGCCGAGACUUGAAUCUGUCGCUUCAGGUUUUCCUCGGAGACAUAACCUCUACAUUUUCCCCACUUCCUCUGUAUUAGUGCACUUCUCCAAACAAUAUUUAUUGCAGAAUAUCUCUAGUUAUAGGGAGUUAAAAUCAGCCAGUCACAGUACAAACACAGGCACACAAAAAAACACCACAGGAACACCAAAACACCCAUUAGACACCAAAUUCAAAUCAAUUCCUCCCACUCGCUUAGCUCCUGUCUUGGUGUGCGUGGAGGAUGCAGGAUGCUGCUACAGGGCAUGGUAUAAUUGAAAGGCUGAAGAAGAAUACUGCUUCUUUAAAAACCAACCAGCAGGCAACGGGGGCAUGAUGGGAAAACAAAGCUGGGGCCCCAGGAGUGGGUAACAUGACAUCACUAAUGGAGGAGCAGAGAGGAUCACUGGCUCGGUUUGUUACUGGCUGUCUUCGUAACAACCACCAGGUCUUGAAGACGCAGCACGAUAAAAUCCACAAUAUCCAAAUCUGACAUUUAUAUGACCAACAUGAAUGACGUCAAGAGGUCAGGAUUUGAAGAAACUUUGCUGAAACAUACUGUUUGCACAAAAUGAAUUGAGUAUUUUCCUCUUUGAUGUUGUGUUUAGGUUGAACAAACGCAUGAUUCAUCACUAAUAGGCGUGGAAUUUUAGAAUAAUCCUUUCUUAAUUCUUGAAGAAUUAAAAUGUUAACUCUUUCUUCAAGAAUGAGCAUGUGAUCUAUGUGAUAAAUACAUGUAUAUUGAUAGAAUAUCCACAACAUACAUAAACCUAUAGUUGUCUAAAAAGUAUUGCAUUUGAAACUAUUUUGUUUCGCAUCUUCUCUGUUUUUCUUUUCUUCCUAUGAAUGACAGGGGGCUGCAUCUCUGCGGUAUUAGCUCGAGCAGCUGUGAAUUCAAAGAAAGUCAGCAAGCAUGUCUGUCUUUUUCUGGCCCACAUAAGGGAUCUCCUACCCUGCACUUCUAAGAUGGCAGCUCAUUUUAUCCAGCCAUAAAUAUCGAUAUUACCUAUCAAUAAAGCCAUCAGAGCAGGGUAAAAAUAGCAGGGAGAGGGUAAAAAAAAAAAGUGGACAAGGAAUAGGGUUGAGAGAUGUGUGGAAAUAAAGGGCAGAUGCAGGAGAGAGAAAAAGAAAGCGAUGGCUGCUUCUCUGUUUCGGGCCCAUGGUCUCAUACCUCCUGGGAUAGCUGAACACUGUCAACGUUCUGCACUUCAAAAUCAAUCACUCUCAACUGGACAAAAAGAGAAGGACACACACUGCAACCGCACAUGCUACAGUCAAUGCCGAGAUGCUGUAUGACAGCAGCCUGUCACAGUGUCAUGUUGUCAUUAUUGAGGACUGGGACAGAAUGUCAGCAAUGUUUCUGUUUUUCUGUAUAUUCUGGAUGUACAUUUAACCAAAGAAAUGACUGAACAUGAAAAUGUAAUUUUCUCUUGUGAUCUGCAGUCUGCAAAAAAAAAAAGAAAAAAUGUGAUGUUUUGUGCCAUUUGUGAGAAACAUUAUGCCCAGAUAACCUGGUGGUGUUUGUAUGCAGAGCUGGUUCAAGGUAUCAUGUUGAUUCAGUAUAAAACACUUUUGGCUGCAGUGUAGGGCAGUUCUGACUGAUGAGUGAAAGUGGUUUUCUGAAGUGCCUCAAAGCUGAUGUUGCUGUCUUUAUAGCAAAGACCUUGAGCAAGUAUAUCACAUGCAACCAACCCUGGUCUUCCAACAUUGAGUCUUAUACAUUGAAGUCUAUUUAUUUAUUUGUACUACUGUUUUGCCUUUGGCUUAUUUGAUGAAGUACGAAGCCACAAAUUAUGCCUGCGUAGAAACACCAAAUUUCGUUGGUGCUCCUUUAGACAUAAUAUAAUACAAUGAUAUAAAUUCAUAAUUUUGUAUCCAGUUUCAUAUCCAUACAUGGCAAGUACAUCUUUACUCAUUUCAUCUUGAAAUCAAGCUCAUGGCUGGCCCUCAAAAUAAUUGUAUCAUAAUUGAUAUGUUGCUCAUGCCAAUCACUACGUCACAUACUGCAUGGCAACAGUCACUCACGGCUCGUAUCAUGGGUAAGGAGCAUACGCUAGCUGCCCUUAUUGAACUCUCAGGUGCAGCAAGGAAACUUUGCUGCUGGACUUUCAUUUUUACCAAGAAAUGUUUAACAUAGUCAGUCCCACUGUUUUAUUAAGUGCAGACUUUGCAGAUAGAUUGAGCAUGAAGUGCAACGACCUCACACCGAGCUUUACUGUUUUUAAAGUACAAAAGUAAUAACAGGUAACUAUCAUGUUAUUAAUUCACUUUUGACAAAAGACCACCUGCACACUUGUAGACUGAGUAUCUAGGACUGCAGUGUAACACUCAGAGCACACUCAUGUCAAAGUAUAAUUCAGUGGUUUUUGCACUUUAUCCCCAUUUCAAGGCUAAGAUCUUCCCAAAACCAACCAAAAAUACCAAGGUGUGAAAAGGCAAUCUAUUAUGAGUUAGUGUACUGGUUAUACAAACUUUUUUUCUUAAGGUUUUCCCUGUAUAUUUUAUGGCAGUACAGUAUAUAGUAUAUUUUACUGACUUUUUUGCCCUUUUCAGAAAUGCUAUAGCUGGUUGCCAUAAGUAAAGCUUAGAAUUUUGAGGACUUUCCAAACACAAAACUUAGUCAAUGAACACAUUAACAGUUCAUCUGAAUGACGUUUACUUGAAUGAACUCACAGUUGUUAAGCCUGCGGUCCCACUGUUAAUUCUAUAUAAAACAAUACAUAUUAUAUGUCUUGCAAACCAGCAAAUACUAUCAAAUCUUCAAGGUGAUUUUGAUGCAUUCCUGUUCUGAAUAAUGUAUGUAUAUUGGGAGCAAGGGUGUGCAUUUCACUGAAAGAUGUAUGUUAAUUUUAUUUCUUAAAUCUAUAGAACAAUUCACCAUUUCUGAAUUGAAUUUGAUUUAUUUUAUUUUUUUUGUUGUAAAUAUUCCAGAAGUGGUCAGAUAUUUACUAAUUGAAUUAUUUAGAUAGUAGAGCAAGCUUCACCAUCACUGUCAAAAAUCUUGCAUGCCAGGAAAAUGGGACAUCGACAAAAGGGUUCAGAUGGCACUGCGGAGAUGAUUUGCCGUUGUGUUGAUUUUGUGGUGUAUAUGUAAACUAAAGCUAUGGCAUCCAUACGCCAGAAUAUGCCAGAACGUUUUCUCAUAUUCAAAAAAUACGAGAAAAUCAUAGUUUAUUUGGUGACUAAACUAUGCUACAUUGUCAACAUUAUUUUCCUGUGGGUGUUUCUUCCAGUGUCAUAUAAAUAAAAAUCAGAUAUGAAAAGCAGAUAUUACUGUGAUAUCACAGAUAUUACAGUGAUAUCGGUUUACAAAAUACUAAAUUCAGUGUCAGGAUCUUGUCUUUAUAUCCUUAAUUCCUAGACAUUUAUAAUGUGGCCUCAGAAGGAUUUUGAUUUAGUCUUGUUGAAUUAUGUCUUCUACAGUGUAUUCAUAAUCAGUUCCAUAUUUGUUUGAAAAAUCUUUUAUUAAGUUUUGUUGUUUCGUAUCUGGUACAUUUCAUUUAAAAUUUUGAUCGAGCUACUUGUUAAAAGAAAUACAAUUGCUUGGCUUACUGUAGAACACUAGAGCCAUCUACGGCUUCCUAGAUUUACUGAGAGGGUAAGCAGAAAAAUAGUGUAGUUUCAGUAACCCUUCAUUUUUCUUUGUGUAAACUUUGCAGACUCACACUUCUAUAUCUUGUCGUCUGUUGGGAUCAUGGGGUGGAUGCAACUACUGAAUCUUCCCCCAAACAAAAAAGAUAACACAAAGUCCUGCUAUCUGUAGAUAAAAGUGAAAUAGUGUGCAGUCUUGAGGGGGAAAAAAAAGUAUAUAAAGAGGAGGAAGGCACAGAAGGGUGCAAAACAUUUCUAACACAUAAUUGAGUUGAGAAGCUCUCCUCACUUUUACCUGGAUGCAGCUUCCAAGGUCGUGCUCAUGGACAAAACAGAACAUUUUAAUAAGGGUGUUCUCUUACACGACUCACAUUAAACUUCAGUCUGAAUGGAACAUGUUUCAAAUCAUAUUCUCGUGGUUCAAAUCAGAUUGUGUUGGUUCACCUUGAUAAUAUCAAUAUACGGGUUUACGCAGGAAAAUAAAUCUGAGAAAGGAAAAGAUAAAUCCCCCUGCUCUGCUUCGAAAACCUGAAAAAGGAAAAUAAUUAGAACUUUGUCCAAUGUCGAUUAUGACUUGAGUGAGUGAAUUGAUCUCCGACUGUUUCUGGGAAAUGCGUGAAAUCUGCAGAGACCGCAAUGGGAGCGAUUAACUUCUUGCACAACACUUCUUUAACCUGUGGAGGAUUAAAGGUGUUAUUGCUUGUCAGACUCAGGUCCUUGAUAACAAAAUGUCAAUACUUUAAGAUUUAAAUUAUAUUUUUAUUUUUUUUUAAUUUUCAUGUACACGUGAAAACAAGUUGUUACAUUGUAUAAAAUGACAACUGUGAAAAAGUUAUGUUCUAUUAUCCAAACAGUGCCAAUAUGCCCUAAAAUACUUUAGAUUUUUUUUUUAGCAAAAGAGUAAAUUCUACCACAAACUGCAAGGAUUCAUUCAUUCAUUCAUUCAUUCAUUCAUUCAUUCAUUCAUUCAUUCAUUCAUUCAUUCAUUCAUUCAUUCAUUCAAUAAUUUUAUGAGAUUCAAAGAACAUGGUUUGUUUAUGGCUAGCAGGUUGGGAUGAAAGGCAAAGCAUUUUUAAAAGACCAAUCCAUCCACAUCAAUGUUUGUCUCAUAUGUUUUAGUAUUUCCCUGUCAUGGACUGGUUAAAUGUUCAAAGAAUACCUUGUUGACCGCUGGGAUAAACUCCAACCCCACCACUAUAACCUGAACACAACACAGCAGUGUCUGAUAGGAAUAUGCUUUCACAAUUUUAAAAGUAGGCCAAAGUGAAAAUGAUAAGAGACGCUGAAGAGGUGAAGUGACCGGCACUCACAUUUAAGUGGUUUCAGAACCUUUUCUUAACUUUAAAUGCCUUGUUUUGGCCAUGGAAGGAAGUUGGAAUAUGCAAGUACCAUAAACUCAAGGAGAUUAUAAAAAGCCAGAUGUAGUUGUAACAAAGCAAUUGGAUGCUUUUAAGAUAUUUGAUGGAGUCAAAUAUGGGAAAUACCCUUCUGCUUUGCUAAACAGGCUUCAGAGGUGGGAAUAUGAGUAUGGGACCAAAGACAAAAUGGUUGACUCAAACUUAGGCUCUUUUCUUUCUUUCUUUCUUUCUUUAUGCUUUUCACAAUUGGUUAGAGAUAUUUUCUUUCUCAGUAAGCACACACUGUCCAUGGCUCAGCUGAGGAAUCUGAUUUCUGGGGCAGGAGGCAAUCCUGGCCAGGCAGAACAUUUGUAAAAUGCUACCCAAGAGACCUGGUUUUGAACUCCAUGUACAAAUGUUCCACUCUCAAAAAAAUCUGUUUUUAUGCUAUGCUACCACUGAUGCCACCAUGCUGCAUUUCAAUGUGGUCUGGGUGAGGGGUUUAUGCUCUACCCAUGUCUGAUCGGUUCUCCCUGGUUACUUGCAUUUCUUUUCGUUGUUUUAAAGAUAAAUCUCAGGUUAGUUGAAAAAAUCUUUUAUUAACAAGUUUUGUUGUUUCGUAUCUGGUUUAAGAAAAAUCUAUUGUGACUGAAAAAGUAGUUGAAACUAGUCAGAUAGGCUGUCUCACAUAAAAACAGUACAAGUCAUAUCAGAACAUUAAUAGUUAUUCAUGUUUUUUAGAUUUGUCUCUUAUUCCUUGUUACUGUUGUUUUUUUUCCAUAUUUUUUUUCCCUAUGCUUUACUGUAUAUUGUGCUAUUUUGUACUUGAAUAAUUAGGCUCAGUUUUAAAUAAAAUCUGGCUGUUCCAUAUUAUUCGUUGUUGUGAUUGAGAUGAAGCACCAUAGCAAAGAUAACAAGAUGAUACAGUUUCCUUAAUUGGUUUUUACCUUUUGACAUUGAAUGGCAAAUUGAAUUAGACUGUAUUUCUGUUAUAUUUUGGAUUACGGUGGACUUCAUACAUUUGGAUCUAAAUCUGACUGUAACAUUUCGUUGUAGUGGCAUAAACUGUAUGAAUAGGAACCAAACUCAGUUGAUGAGAAUUCAUUGAAUGAAUCAAACAGAAUGAAACUCAAGUAAGCAGAAUUAGACUGAACUGAAUCACAUUCAGCUAAAUUGAAGCAGAAUGUGUUGAACUGAAUUGGGUUGACUUAAACUGAAAUUAAAAUGAACUGAAUUCCUAAGCACAUUUCUCUAGAUCAUUUAGUUUGGGGUUUAUGAAUUAAAUACCUAUUCUUUGUCCUAGGUGCACCACACAUCUCACAGACCAUUUCCACUACGCAUGUGGCGGCUAAAACAUUGUUGUAAAGUCUUAAAGGGUCAAUUUUGAUCAUAAAUAACAUCAUAAUGACACAAGAAAUUCAUUAUUUCAGCCAAAUAUAAUGUGUGAAAUACAUUCCUUGUUGUCUACAGAAGAUAUACAAUGGAUUUUGACUGGCUAUUACACAUCUGAACAUACCAGCAAAAACUGAAUCUGCAAACUUUCAUCACCUCUAUAAAUAUAUAUUUUUUAAUCCAGCCUCCUAUUGUGUGACUUCAGUCUAUCAUUCUGUGGACAUAAAAGUCAAUUAUAUUCCCUGUUUUUUUAUUUCUAUAACUUUGUACAAAAAAAAAAAAGGCUUUCACCCAACUGAUGUGAAGGAAACUGAGCUAUUUUAACACUCCCCAGACGCUUUGUGUUGGUGUUUGCUUUAUUUUGAUGGUUACCUGCAGAUUUGACACUAUAGCUCCGAGGCAUCCUUUGUCUCCUAACAAAAGCCCCUGGCAGUUAAAACAAACAUCACUGGACACCCCUGCAACACACACCAACUCACCUGUCAUAGCUAUAACAACCCCAUCAGCAUUUUGCUGCAAACAUGAGGGCCAGAAAUGUUCACAGAGACAGCCAUCAACUUGGAUCCAUGUCCCAUAUGACCACUGACGUGUGUGAGCGCAGUUUUGUGAGUGUUCGUGUGUGUGUGCAUGCGUGCGGCUGGUGGAGGGGAUAGGUGGAGACCAUCUUUCAUCUCUGGCUGUGAUCUGGUAUUCUACAUUAUAUGAUAUGAUGAUACAGGCCCUAUUAGAGGGACAGGACUGUGUGAAAAAAAUGAUGACUAGGCAAGUGGAAGACUGGACUGGGAACUGACAUAUGAGACGGGGAAGAAAUUCAAGGAGGGUGGGGUUGGUGAAAGAGUGGAAGAGACGGAAAAGUAUAGGUUUAAGGUUGGGGGUGAAGGAGCGGCGAUGGAUGAGUCUGGAGGAGGGCGAGAUGAAGGAUGGGAAGAGUGAUGCUGGUAAAGGAAAUAAAGGAAGGAUGAGCGAUAUCUAUGCAUGUUAUAUUAAGAGGAAAAAAUGGAAUUAACAUGAAAAAGUCAAAGAGACAAAGGGGAAGCACAUAAAGAUGAAUAAAAUAAAUGAGCAUGCUAAACUAUGGUCAAGAGAUGAGUUCAGUUAUAAAAUAAACUAUUAUUUUCUUUCACUAAAAAAAACUAUAAAAUAUACAACUUAACUUUACAGAUGCCACCACAUCAUCAUGUUUCAGUUGCUUUAGUUGUUUAUACUCUCUGAAAUACGUUUUCUCAUAGUUUGUGAUUUUUGCCUGGAUAAACUACAACUGUGUCAGGUGUACAAUGUUGAUCCAGAUGCACUAAUGCUUUGAUCAACCUGCCAGCUUUUAUCAGCUUGCAUGCUCUUUCCAGAGCCAAAAGGGACCCAAUUAUGUCAGGCAUACUGUUCUUUACGCCAGCAGAACCAAAAUGUUGAGCAGAAAGGAUGAAAACAACUCACACCCAAAACAUUGCUUAAAUGAAAGGAAAUCUUUAUUUACCUGUCAAAAAGUCUACUUUAUUAUCCCAGUCAUUUCUAUAUGAAUCAUGCGUUAAUGAGAGAAAUGUUUUUCAUUGCAUUUCAGGAGAUUUUGUUUUGUGAAAAACAGACAGAUUUCCUGUUAGAGCAAAGGGAGUUUUUGUCGUUUUAUGAUCAGCAAUUAACAAUAAUUUGUUAUGUUUUUAAAUUGGCGUAUUAAAUAAAAUAAAAUUAAACUGUUUAAAAACAAUAGCAGUGUAUUUAAAAAUGUUGGCAAAACUCAUAAUCCUGAACAAAGUUUUUAUUUCGCCAGGCAGGCGAAAUCAUUGACAACGCCACAUAUUAUGUCUAAAAUUAUAAAGCGACACAUUUAUUAUUACUUUUGGCUCACAAAAAUAAGGCAAAUAAAAUCUAGUGUAGGCAAGAAAACAGCAAAAAGUGUCCAAUUUUCUCAAAUAUUUACUGCAUAAUAUCCAAUAUAGAAACUGAAGAAUGGUUGCAGAUUUUGAUUUUCCAAACAUUUCUGAGCAAUUGACUAAUUAGUUGUAAAAUCAGUUUCUGAGAACUGCUUUAUGUACUCAGCCUUAGACAAUUCUUUGCAUUUCUUCAUUUUGUCUCAGAAACGGCAUGUUUGAAGUCACCUCACAAGUUUUUUGUUGAAUUAAUGUCACAGGACUGGGCUAGGCAUUUUGUAACUAUAAUUUUAUCUGUCUAGAAACAAAAUACAGGUCAGUUUAAUGGUGUGUUGGACCAUGUUGUGUUGUUAAAACACUAAUUCUAAUGUCAUUUCAAUUUAGACAUGACCAAACAGGACAUCCUCAAGUACUAUGACAUAUUAACACCACGUUCCAAUUUAUUGUACAAGUGAUAUUUUUUCAUAUUUUUGUAAAUGAUCAAUGCAAAUGAUGGUCAGUAUAAUUUCCAAGUCAUGAACAUUUAGGGUAUAAAUUCAACUUUAUUCAACAAACCUCCCAAUGUCUACAGGAUUUUUUUCAAAAAUAAAAAACCCCUCAAAUGCAUUGUUCCAAAUUAUUAUGCAAAACAGGUUUUUAAAACAUUUCAUGGCUUAUAAAGAACUGCACAUUGUCAUUCUUUGAACGUGCAGCAUUAGGUGGUGACAGGUACUAAAACCAAAAGCUAUUUCAAUCAAAAACAUCUUAACAGACCGAGUUACAUGUCAACAUAGGACCCCUUCUUUGAUAUCACCUUCACAAUUCUUGCAUCCAUUGAACUUGUGAGUUUGUGGAUAGUUUCUGCUUGAAUUUCUUUGCAGGCUGUCAGAAUCGCUUUCCAGAGCUGCUGUUUUGAUGUAACUGCAUCCCACCUUCAUAGAUCUUCUGCUUGAGGAAACUCCAAAGGUUCUCCAUAGGGUUGAGGUCAGGAGAAGAUGGUGGCCACACCAUGAGCUUCUCCCCUUUUAUGCCCAUAGCAGCCAAUGACACCGUGGUAUUCCUUGCAGCAUGAGAUGGUGCAUUGUCAUGUAUGAAGAUGAUUUUGCUACUGAAGGCACGGCUCUUCUUUUUGUACCAUGGAAGAAAGUG